CCAGACUCCUACGGGAGGCAGCAGUGGGGAAUAUUGCACAAUGGGGGAAACCCUGAUGCAGCGACGCCGCGUGGGUGAAGAAGCGCCUCGGCGCGUAAAGCCCUAUCGGCAGGGAAGAAGGAGGACGGUACCUGACUAAGAAGCCCCGGCUAACUACGUGCCCGCAGCCGCGGUAAUACGUAGGGGGCAAGCGUUAUCCGGAUUUACUGGGUGUAAAGGGGGCGCAGACGGCAGCGCAAGCCAGGAGUGAAAGCCCGGGGCCCAACCCCGGGACUGCUCUUGGAACUGCGCGGCUGGAGUGCAGGAGGGGCAGGCGGAAUUCCUGGUGUAGCGGUGAAAUGCGUAGAUAUCAGGAGGAACACCAGUGGCGAAGGCGGAUUGCUGGACAGUAACUGACGCUGAGGCGCGAAAGCGUGGGGAGCAAACAGGAUUAGAUACCCGAGUA
rnacentral:rRNA from 1 species